UACGUAGGGUGCGAGCGUUGUCCGGAAUUACUGGGCGUAAAGAGCUCGUAGGUGGUUUGUCGCGUUGUCCGUGAAAACUCACAACUCAAUUGUGGGCGUGCGGGCGAUACGGGCAGACUGGAGUACUGCAGGGGAGACUGGAAUUCCUGGUGUAGCGGUGAAAUGCGCAGAUAUCAGGAAGGAACACCGUAGUCGGAAGGCGGCUC
rnacentral:rRNA from 1 species